UACGUAGGGUGCAAGCGUUGUCCGGAAUUAUUGGGCGUAAAGAGCUUGUAGGCGGUUUGUCGCGUCUGCUGUGAAAUUUCGGGGCUCAACCCCGAACUUGCAGUGGGUACGGGCAGACUAGAGUGUGGUAGGGGAGACUGGAAUUCCUGGUGUAGCGGUGAAAUGCGCAGAUAUCAGGAGGAACACCGAUGGCGAAGGCAGGUCUCUGGGCCAUACCUGACGCUGAGGAGCGAAAGCAUGGGGAGCAAACAGG
rnacentral:rRNA from 1 species